rnacentral:lncRNA from 1 species
GUGACCCUACAGAUUGAAGCAAACACACAAAAAACAAACGCGGCCGCAUUCGUGGGGCGAAGGAACGGCCAUAUUGGAAUGGCGGCCGAAUGGGACCGGACAUCAGAGUCGUAGCAAUGGCGCCCACACCGAUGAAAACGUCGAAUCCCUGACGAACGUAGCUCGAUCGGAUCCAGACACACAACCGUCGAUGUUGCAGUAGUUUAAACAAAACCGGAUUGCAUUCGAAGCUCCGCUGGAUAAAAGACGCCAUUGGCUUGGCCGGACGGUGGCAUCGUACUGCCGAGAAUUCACCCCCACCGACAAUGAGGCCAGCAGACAGUGGACAGCAAGGACUGAGCGGCGUAUCAAAUUGCUUGUAUUAUUUGCGUACGCCUAGUGUAAGUGCUUGGGGAAAAAAAAACAGAAAACUCGCACCCGACGCAACUUCCGAAGCGCCAACCACAAGCAGCGUACUUCCGGCGUUACUUCUGGCGUCGUCUGUUUCAUGACAUGUCUCAUUUGACGUGCAAAUAACCACGGCUCUCUAACUAUGGUCACAACGCGUCUUAAGUGGUUACUGCAGCCGUAACAGAAACCUCACGGUGUAGUUGGUUAUUUCGCAGUUUAACACUCACUUAAGUGAGUGUUACGAUUAACGAGCACAGAGGCCAGUGACGUAGACGGCAGCAGGGGCGCUGGUGACGACAUCUCGCGGCUGUUUGCUCAACCAGGCCAGAACGAGGUUUGAUUUUCUUUUAUGCAACGCCGUUCUUGUCCAAUGAAAAACAAUAAAGACUUCGUGUACACA